rnacentral:rRNA from 1 species
UACGUAGGGUGCAGGCGUUAAUCGGAAUUACUGGGCGUAAAGCGUGCGCAGGCGGUCUUUUAAGUCAGAUGUGAAAUCCCCCGGGCCUAACCUGGGAACUGCGUUUGAAACUGGAAGGCUUGAGUGUGGCAGAGGGGGGUGGAAUUCCGACGUGUAGCAGUGAAAUGCGUAGAGAUGUGGAGGAACACCGAUGGCGAAGGCAGCCCCCUGGGCUAACACUGACGCCUCAUGCACGAAAGCGUGGGGAGCAAACAGG